GAUGAACGCUAGCGGCAGGCCUAACACAUACAAGUCGAAGGGGUAACAUUGUGCUUGCACAGAUGACGACCGGCGCACGGGUGCGUAACGCGUAUGCAAUCUACCUUUUACAGUGGGAUAGCCCAGAGAAAUUUGGAUUAAUACCAUAUAGUUUAUUAGAGUGGCAUCACUUUAAUAAUAAAGAUUUAUCGGUAAAAGAUGAGCAUGCGUUCUAUUAGUUAGUUGGUGAGGUAACGGCUUACCAAGACAGCGAUAGAUAGGGGCCCUGAGAGGGGGAUCCCCCACACUGGUACUGAGACACGGACCAGACUCCUACGGGAGGCAGCAGUGAGGAAUAUUGGACAAUGGGCGAGAGCCUGAUCCAGCCAUGCCGCGUGCAGGAAGACUGCCCUAUGGGUUGUAAACUGCUUUUAUACAGGAAGAAACACUGCUACGUGUAGCAGCUUGACGGUACUGUAAGAAUAAGGAUCGGCUAACUCCGUGCCAGCAGCCGCGGUAAUACGGAGGAUCCAAGCGUUAUCCGGAAUCAUUGGGUUUAAAGGGUCCGUAGGUGGAUAAUUAAGUCAGGGGUGAAAUCUUGCAGCUCAACUGUAAAAUUGCCUUUGAUACUGGUUAUCUUGAGUUAUUAUGAAGUAGUUAGAAUAUGUAGUGUAGCGGUGAAAUGCAUAGAUAUUACAUAGAAUACCAAUUGCGAAGGCAGAUUACUAAUAAUCAACUG
rnacentral:rRNA from 1 species